rnacentral:rRNA from 1 species
GACGAACGCUGGCGGCGUGCCUAAUACAUGCAAGUCGAGCGAACAGACGCGGCGCUUGCUCCUUUGACGUUAGCGGCGGACGGGUGAGUAACGCGUGGAUAACCUACCUAUCAGACUGGGAUAAUCUCGGGAAACCGGCGCUAAUACCGUAUAAUAUAUUGCUGCGCAUGGUUCAAUAGUGAAAGUCGGCUGUUCUGGCACUUAUAGAUGGAUCUGCGCCGCAUUAGCUAGUUGGUACGGUCACGGCCUAUCAAGGCGACGAGGCGUAGGCGACCUGAGAGGGUGAUCGCCCACCUUGGAACUGGGACACGGUCCAUGCUCCUGCGGGAGGCAGCAGUAGGGAAUCUUCCGCAAUGGGCGGAAGCCUGACGGAGCAACGCCGCGUGAGUUAUGAAGGUCUUCGGAUCGUAAAGCUCUGUUAUUAGGGAAGAACAAAUGUGUAAGUAACUAUGCACGUCUUGACGGUACCUAAUCAGAAAGCCACGGCUAACUACGUG